rnacentral:rRNA from 1 species
AUACGGGGGGGGCGAGCGUUGUUCGGAAUUACUGGGCGUAAAGGGCGCGUAGGCGGUCCGAGAAGUUUCGGGUGAAAGCCCCGGGCUCAACCCGGGAAGGUCCCGGAAAACCAUCGGACUGGAGUGCUGGAGAGGCAAGCGGAAUUUCUGGUGUAGCGGUGAAAUGCGUAGAUAUCAGAAGGAACAUCGGAGGCGAAGGCGGCUUGCUGGACAGCAACUGACGCUGAGGCGCGAAAGCCAGGGGAGCGAACGGGAUUAGAUACCCCAGUAGUCC